UACGUAGGGGGCUAGCGUUGCUCGGAAUUACUGGGCGUAAAGGGAGCGUAGGCGGACAUUUAAGUCAGGGGUGAAAUCCCGAGGCUCAACCUCGGAACUGCCUUUGAUACUGGAUGUCUUGAGUGUGAGAGAGGUAUGUGGAACUCCGAGUGUAGAGGUGAAAUUCGUAGAUAUUCGGAAGAACACCAGUGGCGAAGGCGACAUACUGGCUCAUUACUGACGCUGAGGCUCGAAAGCGUGGGGAGCAAACAGG
rnacentral:rRNA from 1 species